rnacentral:rRNA from 1 species
UACGUAGGGCGCAAGCGUUAUCCGGAAUUAUUGGGCGUAAAGAGCUCGUAGGCGGUUUGUCGCGUCUGCCGUGAAAGUCCGGGGCUCAACUCCGGAUCUGCGGUGGGUACGGGCAGACUAGAGUGAUGUAGGGGAGACUGGAAUUCCAGGUGUAGCGGUGAAAUGCGUAGAUAUCUGGAGGAACACCGGUGGCGAAGGCGGCGUUCUGGACUGCAACUGACACUGAGGAACGAAAGCCAGGGGAGCAAACGGG